UUAAUAUUUAGAAAUUUUUGAAUGUUUUAUUUUUUUAACAUUUUUAUGGCAACAAGUUGGACUUAGGUUCUAUGAGGGUAGGGUUCAUUUCCAGAAAAUAACUGCUAAACCAUUUAGUAUUUUGAAUCAAACACAUGCUGAACUGGUGCCUUUUGCUAUUCAACAAUUUUAGAACGUUUUAUUUUAAGGUUUUUUUUUUAUGGCAGCUCUUUGAACUUGGGCUUAAAGAAAUGUUGGGUUAGUUUACCUGGUUUCGGACCAUUACAUGUUAAGGUUGGCAGGGAAUAUAGAUGACUUCGUCGACUAUAUGCUUGUUGAAAUUGAAACUGUUAAAGCGGAAACUGUCUAAUGAAUUGACUGUUUGACUUUUCUUCACAGAAAUCAGAAGUUUGCAGUUACAUUAAGAGCCUUUUACAGGGUAAGUUCAGGUAAUAUACUCUAUAAAGUACAUGGCCAUGGAGAAUGAUCUGAAGUCCUAAACAUGCACAUCACAUCUGGCCAAAAUAAACCAAUUCAAUGUAUGUAUCCUUUCCUUUUAUAUAACACUGUUGUUGAUAUUCCUGUAUAUCACAUUGAAAGUUAACAGUCACAUAUACACCAACAUCACACAACAGUCAAUAUAAAAUGAAUGUGGCAUUCUUGAGGCACUUUUGUCUUUACAGUGAGGACAAGGACAUGGUGAGAGACACAACUGGUUUGUUACCAAGUAUCCCUACCAUGAAGUCAAGGCUGGAUUUGGGUCAGAUUUUGUGUCUGCUGAAAUGUAUGGGCACAUACUUCAGUGGCUGGGGCAAUCCUUGACACGCCUUCUAGUGAGAGAUAAACGUCGCCCUAACACUAAGCCAGUGACUCAGAUCUUUACUGUGCCGGAUGUUGAUGCGAAUCUCAGGGAACUUCCAAUGGAGUACACACAGUAAGCACAGAAAAUACAAAAUUAAUUAUUCUAUUUCUAUCGGUGAAAUACUGCAUUUAUCGGUUAAAAUAAAACCUGCAUCUACACUGAGUUAGAUAUCAAAAUCAAAAAGUAAACAAUGUGAUGACUUAAUGUGUAUCACCAGGCAACAAGACGACUGACACAGUGAAUGUACUAAAUUUGUGAGUCAUCGGUCUGGUUUUCAUAAAAUUCAGCAAUAAGGAAGAAUAGAAUAAAUAGAACAUUUGACUUUUCCUGUCGAAUACCGUGUUUAUGUCAUCUCGUGAAGU